AGAAUCUCUAGAGAUCUCUCCUCAGUGAAGCUUCUUCCUGCAAGCCUAGCAUCUUCUGAUACAAAGAAUCUUGAGCUGCAUCUACCUUUCCCUGUGUUGUUCUCCAUCGAACUGGGAUCAAAAGCAGAUGAAGACACAAGCAUUAUUACUUCUUUCCACUGUGAGCAUGUUUUCAGUAAAUGAAAUUUAACUGCUGAUGGCAUGAUUCCUACUGCUGGUAUCUCGGUGAAGAGAGAGUAAAGAUGUUGGGGAGUCAGUGUCUUCAGAGCCCGAAGAAGUGAAAGCACUGCUCAGAGCACUGCAGAAACGGAAUUUUUGCAACGACAGCGAGCGCGACCCACGCGUAAACGCCCGCGGGAAGGCCGGGAGGCCGC